rnacentral:rRNA from 1 species
UACGAAGGGGGCUAGCGUUGCUCGGAAUUACUGGGCGUAAAGCGCACGUAGGCGGCUUUCUAAGUCGGGGGUGAAAUCCUGGAGCUCAACUCCAGAACUGCCUUCGAUACUGGAAAGCUCGAGUCCGGGAGAGGUGAGUGGAACUGCGAGUGUAGAGGUGAAAUUCGUAGAUAUUCGCAAGAACACCAGUGGCGAAGGCGGCUCACUGGCCCGGUACUGACGCUGAGGUGCGAAAGCGUGGGGAGCAACAGG